ensembl:snoRNA
UUCCAAAGUACUGAGUUCAGUUCAGGGCAGCCUCCCUGUUCUGUUAAUUAAACUUUGGAACAUUGAAAUUGACUGGGGGAGAUGAUUGGAUAGAGGUAUCACUCUAUUAAUUUACUUCCUAGCUUACAGUG